CGAGCUUCGAGACGGCAGUACGCAUGCGCGACAUUAUAGACGGCAGUACGCAUGCGCGAGCCUGGAGACGGUAGUACGCAUGCGCCACAACAUAGACAGCAGUACGCAUGCGCGAGUUUCGAGACGGCAGUACGCAUGCGCGACAUUAUGGACGGCAGUACGCAUGCGCGAGCCCCGAGACGGCAGUACGCAUGCGCGACAUCAGGGACAACAGUACGCAUGUGCGAGUCCCGAAACGGCGUACGCAUGCGCGAGCUUCCAGACGGUAGUACGCAUGCGCGACAUUACUGACAGCACUACGCAUGAGCGAGCCCCGAGACGGCAAUACGCAUGCGCGAGCCGCGAGACGGCAGUACGCAUGCGCUAGUUUCGAGACGGCAGCACGCAUGCGCGACAUUAUAGACGGCAGUACGCAUGCGCGAGCCGGGAGACGGCAGUACGCAUGCGCGACAUUACGGACAGCAGUACGCACGCGCGAGCCAUGGAACGGCAGUACGCAUGCGCGACAUCAUGGGCGGUAGUACGCAUGCGCGAGCUCCGAGAUGGCACUACGCUCGCGCGAGUUUCGAAACGGCAGUACGCACGCGCGAGACGCGAGACGGUGGCAGCAGAUACCGUGGCAACAACAACUCCGCCGCCUUUUAGCGGACUGCCUGGGACCGUGGGCGCGCAUCCCCUUCUCUCUUUCUUUUCUUGGCAGAGGAUGGUGGGGGGAAGAAGGGGAGACGACAAAGAAAAGCAAGGAAAACUUCGACAAACCCUCCAACCCCGUGCUAAAUGCUUUGGUAUACCUGUAAAUAAAUGAAUACAUAACCAGCAAGUUGUUGUUGUCAUGCCUUUUUUUUUUUUUAAUAUGUGUAUGUGUAUACAUUUAUAUAUACACAUGUAUAUACAUAUUUCAGCCAGCAUCUGAGGUGAUGAAAAAACAUGGUAUGAAUUGCACGCAGUGAAGCCAAGGGUGCCUUGGAACAAUUAACA
rnacentral:lncRNA from 1 species